GAUGAACGCUGGCGGCGUGCCUAAUACAUGCAAGUCGAGCGAACAGAUAAGGAGCUUGCUCCUUUGACGUUAGCGGCGGACGGGUGAGUAACACGUGGGUAACCUACCUAUAAGACUGGAAUAACUCCGGGAAACCGGGGCUAAUGCCGGAUAACAUUUAGAACCGCAUGGUUCUAAAGUGAAAGAUGGUUUUGCUAUCACUUAUAGAUGUACCCGCGACGUAUUAGCUAGUUGGUAAGGUAACGGCUUACCAAGGCAACGAUACGUAGCCGACCUGAGAGGGUGAUCGGCCACAAUGGAACUGAGACACGGUCCAGACUCCUACGGGAGGCAGCAGUAGGGAAUCUUCCGCAAUGGGCGAAAGCCUGACGGAGCAACGCCGCGUGAGUGAUGAAGGUCUUAGGAUCGUAAAACUCUGUUAUUAGGGAAGAACAAAUGUGUAAGUAACUGUGCACGUCUUGACGGUACCUAAUCAGAAAGCCACGGCUAACUCCGUG
rnacentral:rRNA from 1 species